CAAUAGCGUAUAUUAAUGUUGUUGCAGUUAAAAAGCUCGUAGUUGGAUUUCUGGUGGGAGCGGCCGGUCCGCCGUAAGGUGUGUACUUGGUUGUCUCCUGUCAUCCUUGUGGGAACUGCUCUGGCAUUAAGUUGUCGGGGUUAGGGAACACAUCGUUUACUGUGAAAAAAUUAGAGUGUUUAAAGCAGGCUUAUGCCGUUGAAUACAUUAGCAUGGAAUAAUAAGAUAGGACUUUGGCGUCUAUUUUGUUGGUUUGCACACCAAGGUAAUGAUUAAUAGGGAUAGUUGGGGGUAUUCGUAUUUAAUUGUCAGAGGUGAAAUUCUUGGAUUUAUGAAAGACGAACUUCUGCGAAAGCAUUUACCAAGGAUGUUUUCAUUAA
rnacentral:rRNA from 1 species